UAAGCAUCAGCAGCAGAGCUCCCAAGCUUGGACACCUUUUCCACUGCACUGGUCACUCUGUUGGCAUCUGAGGAAGAAAUCAGGGUUCGCAGCUGCAGGAUCACCAUGAAGAUCAUCAGGGUUCUGGUCCUUCUUCUUCUAGCAUCUGUCCCGGUCUUUACAGACGAUGGCCAACCAACUACUGCCUCACCAACGUUAAAGCCAGAUGCAACAGCAGCACCAACAAUAGCAGCAGCAGCAGGUCCAGCAACAACAGGUUGGGGGAUCUAUGGAUGGAUGGAUGGAUGGAUGGAUGAUUGAUUGAUUGAUUAAUUUAUUGAUACUUAAAAUUCUCAUAGGUUUUUUUUGUCUGCAAAACUGCAAGUAGGCUUAUUUUGCCAUGUUUCUGAAAACAGGUAUUUUCCCUUUUUUCCGUAAAAAAAUUCCUGCUCUA